GGAGAGAUCAUGGGAGCUUCAUGUACUUGCCCUGACACUUUGUUUUAUGACCCAGUCCUGUGUAUGCUUUGAAAAACUAAACUAGAAAUAGUGUUCCUCUAAUUUUUCUGAGCUGCUCUAGUGAGUUUGUGGAACAUGAAGAUGGGGUCAUGGGAACUUUUUGCGAAUUUGUCAGAAGCACAGGUCACAGACUGGAGGUCUGAGUGACAUCUGAUGUAGGGGACAGACUCCUGGGACUGACCUGAUAAACUAUGCCUGAGCAGUUAUGGUCACCAGGACAUGGAGAAGAUAAUGGUCAAUAUUUGAAGAAACCUGUGCAUCUGACAGAUGUCAUGCCAAAGAAGCUGGGAGAGAUCAUAAUAUAACAUCUUCCUAUGAUCUGGAAUAAGAAAAAGUUUUUUGUGUCUUCAUUGCGUUUUUAUUGCUUAUCAAGAAGAGGAGACAUAGAAGAAGGCAUUUCGGAAGAUGUGAUAAGAAAAGACAUUUUUGUUUUCUUUAACUAUGUUCGUAAUUUCUUCCUCUCAUCUAAUCUCUGUAGUCCUUAAUUCCCUCACAUGGAAAUCAGGAGCAAGUCACAUUGGCUUUCUGAACAUAGAAAAUCAAAGAAGCAAGUGUGAUUAUCUGAUUCUCCAGCA
rnacentral:lncRNA from 1 species